UAGAAAAGUAAUGUCAGGUUAACAUAAUAAUAUCAGCCUGUAUAUUAAGGUCAUUUUGCAAACAUUUUACCAGGAACAAGGCAAGAUUUCUUUAAAUACUCUGUUGCGUUCAUGAACAUGAUUAAAAAGUAUGUCUUCCUGUUGAAAAAUCAUUUUAGAAGUUUUGCAAUUCUUUCAGGAAUGUGACAGAAGUGUCUGAAGACAUUAAGUCGCCAAUGAAAUACAUUUCUGUAACACUGGCUCUGCCACUUUGUCAGGCCGGUGUAUUAGUCCUACAUUCCUCUGUACUUUCAAGUGUGUUGGCAAGUCUGUCUGUGGUCAUAAACUGUUCAAAGUAUUCAGAAAGCAUUCACUUACCCUUCUGGAGCUUGUACGGGACUGCAGUAAGAAAAGACAAAUUUACAAAUCUCAGUGAUGUUUGCCAGUCCUUGCCAAAUGACAAGUGCUUGACACCAGAGGACAGAGCUUUCUGUAAUCAAGGCUACAAGGGUGAAAUUCUUGAAAGUCCAGUUUCUCGACGACUGCCUUGUGCCAUGCAAGAUGUUUGUUCACACUUCAAGGGAAAAGGUAUGAGUUUAUAUCAUGCUGCCUGCAUAAAGAAUACGAGCUCUGUGGUGGAAUUCACAACAUCUACAUCUGCUGCUGCAUGGCUUUGCCUGAAAACGUUUGAAAAGUUAGU